GGGGCCGUAGCUCAGCUGGGAGAGCGCUUCAAUCGCACUGAAGAGGUAGUGGGUUCGAGUCCCAUCGGCUCCA
rnacentral:tRNA from 1 species